GGAGCACCAAAUCCCAAUCCUCUCAUCGGAGACACUGAUGGGGGAUCCGGAUCAGCGGUCUUACAAAGGGAGGCAUUGUAAGAAGUUUUAUACCGGCGAGGGGUGCCCGUAUGGGGAUAGCUGUACCUAUUUGCAUGAUGAGCAGUCGAAGGCGCGUGAGAGUGUGGCAAUCAGCUUGACUUCAUCUAUUGGGCCGGUUGUCGGUGGGUAUGGGGGCGGGGC
rnacentral:misc_RNA from 1 species